rnacentral:misc_RNA from 1 species
GAUGAAGAACGCAGUGAAAUGCGAUAAGUAAUGUGAAUUGCAGAAUUCAGUGAAUCAUCGAAUCUUUGAACGCACAUUGCGCCCCCUGGUAUUCCGGGGGGCAUGCCUGUUCGAGCGUCAUUUCAACCCUCAAGCUCUGCUUGGUAUUGGGCGUCGCCGGGGAGUCUCCCCGGCGUGCCUCAAAGCCAUCGGCGGUGGUGCCUUUCUCUAAGCGUGGUAGAAUUUUUAUUCGCUUCUGAGUUGGGCUUCGCCUGCCGGACAAACCGGGCCCUCGCGGCCCACCUUCUCAGGUUGACCUCGGAUCAGGUAGGGAUACCCGCUGAACUUAAGCAUAUCAAUAAGCGGAGGA